UUGGGCAGUAGUGCAAGCGGCUUCUAUGUUCAGUUCUUGAGCCCGGCAGCCGCCGCUCGUGCUGAGCUGCUAGGAAUCCCUGUCAGCGAGCUCGUAGGAGCUUGAAACCAUCGUCGCGCCUCCGUAGAUUCACCGGGGAAAAAAUGGUUGAAGCAGAUCGCCCAGGAAAGCUCUUCAUUGGAGGGCUUAAUACGGAAACAAAUGAGAAAGACCUUGAAGCGGUAUUUGGCAAAUAUGGACGAAUAGUGGAAGUACUCUUAAUGAAAGACAGAGAAACCAACAAAUCAAGAGGAUUUGCUUUUGUCACCUUCGAAAGCCCAGCAGAUGCUAAGGAUGCAGCCCGAGACAUGAAUGGAAAGUCUUUAGAUGGAAAAGCCAUCAAAGUGGAACAAGCCACCAAACCAUCAUUUGAAAGUGGUAGACGUGGACCACCUCCACCUCCAAGAAGCAGAGGCCCUCCAAGAGGUCUUAGGGGUGGAAGAGGAGGAAGUGGAGGAACCAGGGGACCUCCCUCACGGGGAGGGCACAAUUAUGGUCAUUCCAGUUCACGUGAUGACUAUCCAUCAAGAGGCUAUAGUGAUAGAGAUGGAUAUGGUCGUGAUCGUGACUAUUCAGAUCAUCCAAGUGGAGGUUCCUACAGAGAUUCAUAUGAGAGUUAUGGUAACUCACGUAGUGCUCCACCUACACGAGGGCCCCGCCAUCUUAUGGUGGAAGCAGUCGCUAUGAUGAUUACAGCAGCUCAUGUGACGGAUAUGGUGGAAGUCGAGACAGUUACUCAAGCAGCUGAAGUGAUCUCUACUCAAGUGGUCGUGAUCGGGUUGGCAGACAAGAAAGAGGGCUUCCCCCUUCUAUGGAAAGGGGGUACCCUCCUCCACGUGAUUCCUACAGCAGUUCAAGCCGCGGAGCACCAAGAGGUGGUGGCCGUGGAGGAAGCCGAUCUGAUAGAGGGGGAGGCAGAAGCAGAUACUAGAAACAAACAAAACUUUGUACCAAAAUCCCUGUUCAAGGAAACAAACAAAAAGUGGAAACUAUUAUCAUAACUACCCAAGGACUACUAAAAGGAAAAAUUGUGUUACCUUUUUAAAAUUUCCUGUUAAGUUCCCCUCCAUAAUUUUUAUGUUCUUGUGAGGAAAAAAGUAAAACAUGUUUAAUUUUAUUUGACUUUAUGACAUUGCUUUCAACAAGCAAAUGUUAAAUGUGUAAGACUUGACUUGUUGUACUAGUGUUGUUAUUUUCCAAGUAAAAGUGUCCCUAAAGGCCACUUUCUAUUCGAUUUUUCCCAGUAAAUGAGGCAAGCAAUUCUAAGAUCUUCCACAAACAUCUAGCCAUCUAAAAUGGAGAGAUGAAUCGUUCUGCCUAUACAAACUAGCUGUUAGAGGGUGGUUGGGUAUGCUACUUCUAGGAUUUCAGGGUGUCUUCAAACUGAAAUCAAAAUGUUCUCAGUAUUAAAAACCUGAGAUCAAAUGCCUAUGUAAGGAAAGUGCUAUUCACCCAGUAAACCCAAAACAAAUGGAUAAUGCUGGCCAUAUUUUGCCUUUCUGACAUUUCCUUGGGAAUCUGCAAGAACCUUCCCUUUCCCCUCCCCCAGUAAGACCAUUUAAGUGUGUGUUAAACAACUACAAAAUACUAAAUUAAAAGUUUGGCCAAAAAAAAA